rnacentral:piRNA from 1 species
UCAACAAAAGAAUUUCUUGAACUUAGUCCU